rnacentral:rRNA from 1 species
GACGAACGCUGGCGGCGUGCUUAACACAUGCAAGUCGAACGGUAAGGCUCCAGCUUGCUGGGGUACACGAGUGGCGAACGGGUGAGUAACACGUGGGUGACCUGCCCUGCACUUCGGGAUAAGCCUGGGAAACUGGGUCUAAUACCGGAUAGGACCGCACCGUGAGGGUGUGGUGGAAAGUUUUUUCGGUGUGGGAUGGGCCCGCGGCCUAUCAGCUUGUUGGUGGGGUAAUGGCCUACCAAGGCGGCGACGGGUAGCCGGCCUGAGAGGGUGGACGGCCACAUUGGGACUGAGACACGGCCCAGACUCCUACGGGAGGCAGCAGUGGGGAAUAUUGCACAAUGGGCGGAAGCCUGAUGCAGCGACGCCGCGUGGGGGAUGACGGCCUUCGGGUUGUAAACUCCUUUCACCACCGACGAAGGGUUUCUGACGGUAGAUGGAGAAGAAGCACCGGCUAACUACGUGCCAGCAGCCGCGGUAAUACGUAGGGUGCGAGCGUUGUCCGGAAUUACUGGGCGUAAAGAGCUCGUAGGUGGUUUGUCGCGUCGUCUGUGAAAUUCCGGGGCUUAACUCCGGGCGUGCAGGCGAUACGGGCAUAACUUGAGUACUGUAGGGGAGACUGGAAUUCCUGGUGUAGCGGUGAAAUGCGCAGAUAUCAGGAGGAACACCGGUGGCGAAGGCGGGUCUCUGGGCAGUAACUGACGCUGAGGAGCGAAAGCAUGGGGAGCGAACAGGAUUAGAUACCCUGGUAGUCCAUGCCGUAAACGGUGGGCGCUAGGUGUGGGUUUCCUUCCACGGGAUCCGUGCCGUAGCUAACGCAUUAAGCGCCCCGCCUGGGGAGUACGGCCGCAAGGCUAAAACUCAAAGGAAUUGACGGGGGCCCGCACAAGCGGCGGAGCAUGUGGAUUAAUUCGAUGCAACGCGAAGAACCUUACCUGGGCUUGACAUAUACAGGAUCGCGCCAGAGAUGGUGUUUCCCUUGUGGCUUGUAUACAGGUGGUGCAUGGUUGUCGUCAGCUCGUGUCGUGAGAUGUUGGGUUAAGUCCCGCAACGAGCGCAACCCUUGUCUUAUGUUGCCAGCACGUUGUGGUGGGGACUCGUAAGAAACUGCCGGGGUUAACUCGGAGGAAGGUGGGGAUGAUGUCAAAUCAUCAUGCCCCUUAUGUCCAGGGCUUCACACAUGCUACAAUGGUCGGUACAGUGGGUUGCCAGUCCGUGAGGGCGAGCUAAUCCCGCAAAGCCGGUCUCAGUUCGGAUCGGGGUCUGCAACUCGACCCCGUGAAGUCGGAGUCGCUAGUAAUCGCAGAUCAGCAACGCUGCGGUGAAUACGUUCCCGGGCCU